UGCAGUCGACGAGCUUCCGUUGAUGACGUGCUUGCACUGAUUUCAACAAUGAAGCGAGUGGCGAACUGGUGAGUAACACGUGGGGAAUCUGCCCAGAAGCAGGGGAUAACACUUGGAAACAGGUGCUAAUACCGUAUAACAACAAAAUCCGCAUGGAUUUUGUUUGAAAGGUGGCUUCGGCUAUCACUUCUGGAUGAUCCCGCGGCGUAUUAGUUAGUUGGUGAGGUAAAGGCCCACCAAGACGAUGAUACGUAGCCGACCUGAGAGGGUAAUCGGCCACAUUGGGACUGAGACACGGCCCAAACUCCUACGGGAGGCAGCAGUAGGGAAUCUUCCACAAUGGACGAAAGUCUGAUGGAGCAAUGCCGCGUGAGUGAAGAAGGGUUUCGGCUCGUAAAACUCUGUUGUUAAAGAAGAACACCUUUGAGAGUAACUGUUCAAGGGUUGACGGUAUUUAACCAGAAAGCCACGGCUAACUACGUGCCAGCAGCCGCGGUAAUACGUAGGUGGCAAGCGUUGUCCGGAUUUAUUGGGCGUAAAGCGAGCGCAGGCGGUUUUUUAAGUCUGAUGUGAAAGCCUUCGGCUUAACCGGAGAAGUGCAUCGGAAACUGAGAGACUUGAGUGCAGAAGAGGACAGUGGAACUCCAUGUGUAGCGGUGGAAUGCGUAGAUAUAUGGAAGAACACCAGUGGCGAACGCGGCUGUCUAGUCUGUAACUGACGCUGAGGCUCGAAAGCAUGGUAGCGAACAGGAUUAGAUACCCUGGUAGUCCAUGCCGUAAACGAUGAGUGCUAAGUGUUGAGGGUUUCCGCCCUUCAGUGCUGCAGCUAACGCAUUAAGCAC
rnacentral:rRNA from 2 species